GAGUAAGUCCAGCAUUUAUAUUCUAAAUCACUUUACAAAAUAGGAGAAAACCUAACAAGAAACUUCAUCAGAAGUUUUGAGCAACUCUAACUCUGACCUCAAGAUGGCAGUGUUUGCAUUUCAUCUUACAGGUAUUGGAUGGGUCUGUAGUAGAAUGUGUAUUGGAGAGCAAAGUCUGAUCUCUGGUUGGCUGGGCAUACUCUCUGAGAAUUCCUUUGUUUAAUAUUUUAAAAAAAAUGUCAAAUAAGAAGCCAGUAUCUAUGGGGGCAGCCCUGUGCAGAAGAAGAAUGGAGAAGAAGCUGAGGGCCUUCUUGGUGGUUUUGUGGCUUCAUUUUUAUUGGGCGAGUGGCAACAACCAAGUGGAGCAGAGUCCUGGGUCCCUGAUCGUCCUGGAGGGAGAGAACUGCACCCUUCAGUGCAAUUAUUCGGUGAGCUCCUUUAACAGCUUAAGAUGGUACAAAGAGGACACUGGCAGAGGACCUGUUUCCCUGAUAAUCAUGACGUAUAGCGAGAGCAAAAAGUCGAAUGGAAGGUACGCAGUAACUCUGGAUGCAACCGCCAAGUUCAGUUUCCUGCACCUCACAGCCUCACAGCUCAGCGACUCAGCCUCCUACAUCUGUGCAAUUGACACAAUAAUUCAGCCAACUGUGAAUGUGUGCUGGAGUGUGGACAACCAGGAUGUAAUGCAUUAUCCAUUAUGA